rnacentral:misc_RNA from 1 species
AGAGAAAGAUGGUGAGUUACAAAAGGGUUAUUUUAUUUCUUUGCUGUCAAUUUUAACAUAUACAAAUAUUUAAGCUAUUUAGUCUCGUAGCUCAGCUGGUUAGAGCGCUACACUGAUAAUGUAGAGGUCGGCAGUUCGAGUCUGCCCGAGACUACAAAGGUUUAUUUAUUUGAGGAAAUUCUAGAAGUUGGGUGAGAGUGGUUAGAAGACUAAAUCAUUCAAAUAUAAUUGCCCAUACUAGAGAUGGGGGAUUAGCUCAGCUGGCUAGAGCGCUUGCCUUGCACGCAAGAGGUCAUCGGUUCGACUCCGAUAUUCUCCACCAGGCAAUGCCUGGAGAUAAUUAGUUUAUCUCUAGAGUAUUGAACAAUCAAAGCUGAUAAAUUUUUUAUCAGUUGUGAUUUGUAACGUUCAUUGACAUAUUGGUAAAAAUGAUAUCGUAAAGAAUCAAGAUAGAGACGUUUGGUAUUUAUACCAGACGAUUUUAAAUUUUUAUAAGAAUAAAAGAGCUCGUUGUAGUAUUUUAUACUACGGCAAAAAGUAC